rnacentral:tRNA from 1 species
GAAGGUAUAGCUCAGUGGUACAGUGCAUGCUUAGCAUGCACGAGGUCCUGGGUUCAAUCCCCAGUACUUCCA